CGAAAGCCUGACGGAGCAAGACCGCGUGAGGGAGGAAGGCUCUUGGGUUGUAAACCUCUUUUCUUGGGGAAGAAAAAAUGACGGUACCCAAGGAAUCAGCAUCGGCUAACUCCGUGCCAGCAGCCGCGGUAAUACGGAGGAUGCAAGCGUUAUCCGGAAUUAUUGGGCGUAAAGCGUCCGCAGGUGGCACUUCAAGUCUGCUGUCAAAGACAGUGGCUUAACUACUGAAAGGCAGUGGAAACUGAAGCGCUAGAGUGUCGUAGGGGUAGAGGGAAUUCCCGGUGUAGCGGUGAAAUGCGUAGAGAUCGGGAAGAACAUCGGUGGCGAAAGCGCUCUACUGGACUGCAACUGACACUCAGGGACGAAAGCU
rnacentral:rRNA from 1 species